rnacentral:lncRNA from 1 species
CCAGCAACAGGAGGAAAUCCCCUGAAGGCAAGAUGCCCUCUAUACCCUUUGAUGUUUGACACAGAAGUCUGAUGCCAGCAGGAUGGCCCAGCCUUGGCCAGACUGGCCGUAUGAGUCACGGGUCAGUACUAGCUGCUGCUGCAGCAGUGGCAAGGCGGAAGGGCUGGAUGAAGGAGUGCAUGGCCUGUUGGGGCAGAAGGGUGGGGGGGAUCUCACCCCUGCCGGCCUCCGCCCGCCACCCCUGUUCCGUACCCUUAGCCAGCGGGGAGCGUCAGCCAGCCUGCCUCCUCACAGACGCCUGCGCUCCAUGUUCAACCGUCCACGGGCUGUGCUGCCAGACAGCGGUCGUCAUGAUGGGUUGAGCUCCUGGAAAGGCUCCAGUGGUAAGCUUUUCAUCUUCACGGAUGCACACGUGAGCUCUGCUGACUGCAAGAAAUCACACAGCAACUCGGGUGAGGAAGUUUGUAUCUCUGGCCCUCCAGAUUCCUCUGAUGCAGCCUCUGAUAGAGUGGCCCGGAAAAGAGCCUUGCGCAGGGCGUGCAGCCACCAAGAGGUGCCAAGAAGUAAUGAGGGCUCGAUAGAGAUGAGAAAGGGUCUUCUUUGGGAAAGGGAAACAGCAUCAUCAGCUCAUGUACCCACACUCUCUCAGUCUCUCUCACUGACAGGCAUAAAAAGGGAGGUCCCUCCACAGUUUAGUGGAGGCACAUGUGCUCCAGCGAGACCACCAGCCAGAGGGAGAGGUCGGUGGAGCAGCAGUGUGUUCCCUGAGAGCUGGAGUGAGCAGAGUGGAUGGAGGAGGGACGGGCAGCAGGCUGAUAAGGCCCAGAGGAAGAGGAGGACCAGAGGAAGACAGAGAGACCUGCAUAAGAGCGUGGCUGCCUCAGAGGCACCACAUGGACACCAUGAGGCGGGACUGUGCCAGUGGCUACAGAGCCUGGGCUUCGGCGAGGACCAAAGGGAUCCUCUGACGACCAACAGGAGGCAGAGCGAGUUUGGCGGUGAGCUGCAGAGGCUGAACUGUGAGGAGCGAUUUGCAGGGCAGAGGGGUGGGACUGCGGAGACUGACGCACAGCCGCACGAGAGGCGGGACCGACGCCCUCACUUCCUGCCCCCCAUCCCACAGAGCACCUCCUCCUCACUCCUGAAUGUGCCCUUGCUCCUGCCCGAGAACUCGCCCCCGCCCACCCGCUGCGUCUCGCCCGAGUCCCCCUGUACCCCCCUGCCUGUGCCC